GAGGAGGUGCUGACUGCUAGUUGCAGAAAAAAGGAAUUCUGCGAUGGUGAAGGAGGAGGCACAGAACUGGAGGUGGAAUCUCGUAUCUUAGUUUGAGAAAAUGCACCGAUUCCUAGAUGCGGAGUUCAAGCAGAGGCUUUGGAGCCUGGAGAAGGGCAAAAGGGGGAAUCUGCAAAAACGACGCCAGAGGAGCACUGUGCAGGUAUGUAUGUGUUCUGUGCUCCUCGUUGAUGAUCCGAGUAAUGAAGGGCCAAGGAGUCCACGUGCAACGGGGGGGUUCUUGGGAUUUUUUGGAAGGGCACAAAGGAAUUCUUCUGUGUGACAUGCUGAGGCCUGAGAUUGAAGAGAAUUAGGCCCAACUCUUUGCUAACUCCAGGAAUGUGUCAGUGCUGCAGCAAUGGCCAAAGGCCACCAUGUCCUUGGAGGUGACCGCCUACUGGAUCCCUGAGAUGAGAGAAAUACUUGGCAGAUAUGCAGGUGAGUGAA